GACCCCGAAAAAGGGCGCAUGUUUCUCGACUCAGAGAGUUUUCUUCGUCUCUCGCCCCAGGUUACGGCCCAGGGCGAGUCGGGCUACGGUGUGCGGUGCUCCCGAAGCCCCAGCGCCGCGUCCCCCACCGCCGGGCGGCGGAUGCCCACAACCCCACACCCUCUGCGUACACAUCCCUGUUGCUUCCCCCGGGUCUCUCCCCGGGGGGAGGUCCCGGAGCAAACCAUGCUGUCCAACCAACCAGCGGCCCCCACCCGUCUGAAGGCCAUCGUGCCUAGGCAGAUGGAACGAGCGAGGAAGGGAACGGAAAUUGCAAAAACUUUCAACGACGGAUCUCUUGGUUCCCGCAUCGAUGAAGAACGCAGCGAAAUGCGAUAAGUAAUGUGAAUUGCAGAAUUCAGUGAAUCAUCGAAUCUUUGAACGCACAUUGCGCCCCCCGGCAUUCCGGGGGGCAUGCCUGUUCGAGCGUCUCCAGGACAUACACAUCGCGCGGGCUAACGCGCGGUCGUGGCGGCGGUGGCGAUCCCCAGCCGGAGGCCACCCCGCUGGAAUACAUGGGCGGACGCCUGCCGCGUUGCCGAGCGUGAUAGGAACGCAUCGGCGCUCGCGAGCGGCGAGGCUGCCAGCC
rnacentral:rRNA from 1 species